rnacentral:misc_RNA from 1 species
UCCGGUUUGUCACCGGCAGUCUCCUUAGAGUUCUCGGCCGAACCGCUAGCAACUAAGGACAAGGGUUGCGCUCGUUACGGGACUUAACCCAACAUCUCACGACACGAGCUGACGACAGCCAUGCAGCACCUGUCACUGCGCUCCCGAAGGCACCAAUCUAUCUCUAGAAAGUUCGCAGGAUGUCAAGGCCUGGUAAGGUUCUUCGCGUUGCAUCGAAUUAAACCACAUGCUCCACCGCUUGUGCGGGCCCCCGUCAAUUCAUUUGAGUUUUAACCUUGCGGCCGUACUCCCCAGGCGGUCUACUUAUCGCGUUAACUGCGCCACUAAGAAGUCAAGCUCCCCAACGGCUAGUAGACAUCGUUUACGGCGUGGACUAC